rnacentral:rRNA from 1 species
GACGAACGCUGGCGGCGUGCUUAACACAUGCAAGUCGAACGGAAAGGCCCUGCUUUUGUGGGGUGCUCGAGUGGCGAACGGGUGAGUAACACGUGAGUAACCUGCCCUUGACUUUGGGAUAACUUCAGGAAACUGGGGCUAAUACCGGAUAGGAGCUCCUGCUGCAUGGUGGGGGUUGGAAAGUUUCGGCGGUUGGGGAUGGACUCGCGGCUUAUCAGCUUGUUGGUGGGGUAGUGGCUUACCCAGCCUUUGACGGAUAGCCGGCCUGAGAGGGUGACCGGCCACAUGGGGACUAAGAGACGGCGCAGACUCCAACGGGAGGCAGCAGGGGGGAAUAUUGCACAAUGGGCGGAAGCCUGAGGCAGCAACGCUGCGUGCGGGAUGACGGCUUUCGGGUUGUAAACCGCUGUCGCCUGUGACGAAGCGGUAGUGACGGUAAUGGGUAAAGAAGCACCGGCUAACUACGUG